GAUGAACGCUGGUGGCGUGCCUAACACAUGCAAGUCGAGCGAUUCUCUUCGGAGAAGAGCGGCGGACGGGUGAGUAACGCGUGGGUAACCUGCCCUGUACACACGGAUAACAUACCGAAAGGUAUGCUAAUACGAGAUAACAUGCUUUUAUCGCAUGGUAGAAGUAUCAAAGCUUUUGCGGUACAGGAUGGACCCGCGUCUGAUUAGCUAGUUGGUGAGGUAACGGCUCACCAAGGCGACGAUCAGUAGCCGACCCGAGAGGGUGAUCGGCCACAUUGGAACUGAGACACGGUCCAAACUCCUACGGGAGGCAGCAGUGGGGAAUAUUGCACAAUGGGUGAAAGCCUGAUGCAGCAACGCCGCGUGAGCGAUGAAGGCCUUCGGGUCGUAAAGCUCUGUCCUCAAGGAAGAUAAUGACGGUACUUGAGGAGGAAGCCCCGGCUAACUACGUG
rnacentral:rRNA from 1 species